rnacentral:rRNA from 1 species
AGAAUCAACGCUGGCGGCGUGCCUAACACAUGCAAGUCGAACGCGAAAGGGGCUUCGGCCCUGAGUAGAGUGGCGAACGGGUGAGUAACACGUGGGUGAUCUACCUUCGAGUGGGGGAUAACGUUCCGAAAGGAACGCUAAUACCGCAUGACGUUCUGGGUUUGAAGACCUGGAAACCAAAGCCGGGGACCGCAAGGCCUGGCGCUAGAAGAGGAGCCCGCGCCUGAUUAGCUAGUGGCGGGUAACGCCCACAAGGCGACGAUCAGUA